rnacentral:lncRNA from 15 species
AUGUGGGUCUGUCAGUCUGUCCUCCACUUUGGUCCAGACUGAAAUAUCUCAAAAACUAUUGGAUGGAUUGUGAUGAAAUGUGAUUCAGACAUUCAUGUUCCCCUCAGAAAGAAUUGUAAUAACGUUAUUGAUCCUCUGACUUUUCCUCUAGCGCCACCAUCAGGUCAACAUUUGAAUGUGUCCAAUACUUUGGUUCAUGAGCAAAUACCUGCAGAACUAAUGACAUUCCCAUCAGCCUCAGCUGCACUUUGUGUUUACUGCUAACGAUCUAAUGAGUAAAAACUAAGACUAUUUCUUUAUUUGCAGACGAUCUCUGCUUGUAUUGGACGCAGCAGUACCCUCAGAUGAUCUGCCAUGUGUGUUAUUUUAUGUGUUUGUAGGCUGUCAGGCUGUCUGAUCACAGAGGGUUGGCUGUGCUUCUCUGGCCUCAGCUCUGAGCUCCAACCCCUCCCAUCUGAGAGAGCUGGACCUGAGCUACAAUCAUCCAGGAGACUCAGGAGUGAAGCUGCUGUCUGCUGCACUGGAGGAUCCACAGUGGAGACUGGACACUCUCAGGGUGGAGCCUGCUGGAGUCCAAUGGUUGAGACCAGGUCUGAGGAAGUAUUCCUGUGAACUCACAGUCGACACAAACACAGUGAACAGAAACAUCAAAC